UUUUAUCCCGAUCGUGGUACUAGA
rnacentral:miRNA from 1 species